AUACUUAGCUGACAGGGGAGAUACCAUGAUCAUGAAGUUGGUUUUUCCAGGAUGAGAGUUACCCAUUGCACUCCGGAUGUGCUGACCCCUUCGAUUUCCGCAAAUGUGGGAAACUUGACUGCAUAAUUUGUGGUAGUGGGGGGACUACGUUCACGCUCUCCUCUU
rnacentral:snRNA from 1 species